CAGCAGCCACGGGAAUACGGAGGGUGCAAGCGUUAAUCGGAAUUACUGGGCGUAAAGCGCACGCAGGCGGUCUGUCAAGUCAGAUGUGAAAUCCCCGGGCUUAACCUGGGAACUGCAUUUGAAACUGGCAGGCUAGAGUCUUGUAGAGGGGGGUAGAAUUCCAGGUGUAGCGGUGAAAUGCGUAGAGAUCUGGAGGAAUACCGAUGGCGAAGGCAGCCAUCUGGCCUAAUACUGACGCUGAGGUACGAAAGCAUGGGGAGCAAACAGGAUUAGAUACCCGCGUAGUCCCUGUCUCUUAUAA
rnacentral:rRNA from 1 species